rnacentral:lncRNA from 12 species
AUGAUGGUCACACAGCACUCUCUAUUUUUGUCAACCAUCCUGAGAUCAGUAGAAGAAGAUGGCACGAAGAUCCACACAAGAGAAGCGCUGGUGGACAUUCUGCUGACAGCUGUGCAGCUCAGCCCCUCUCUCUGUGGGAGCAGUCACCUCCCACUGCUGCUGGGAGCCUACGGGGCCACGCUGAGCACCGUGGAUCAGAAGAUACUGCUGUUGCUUCGGUUGUAUGAGAAGAAUAACCAAAUCUUACAAACUCCAGGAUCCUGCUGUGGGGCCCAGCUGCUGUGGAGCAUCACAAGACUUGCAAGAGUCUGGGGAAGUCCCUGUGGCAGCAGCCAAGCAUGGAGGAGAUUCUGUGUCUGCUGGAUCGAGAGAAGAUGAUGAGGACGGUUCUGUCGUUCCCUCAGCAUCGCCGGCUGCUGCCACCACAGGUGCUUUUGGUUCAGCCUGUGUAUGGUUACCCUUCCUUGGAUAUACAGAAAGAGCCUUGAGCCAUUCCUUUCUGGCAUUCAAGCGGUUUGUUUCCAUCGGUAGAGUGAUUUCAAUUCAUAGGAGGACUGGAAUUAGUUCUAGGAGCACCCUUCAAAAUUAACUGCAAGAUAUGGUCCACGUCUUGCCAGCAGGGAUGACUGUGCGUUGCUGAGAUUGUCACGUAUGUGAGACCAGGAUUGGACAGCCCAAGGAUCCACUGGCAAUGGGCACUCCAGACUUUCUUACAGUUUGCUGGCAUGCUUCUGUAGCUGUUGGUGCUGGUCAGGGGAAAUAGUUGUGGAUAUAGUCUCAUAGUGAAAGCUGGGUUUAAACACAGUCAUGUCUCACCACGUGUUGCAUCGUAUUUUACAAGGUGUGGUAUCAAGUGGAUUAUAUUGGGAUGAGGUGGUUGUGGAAGUUUGAAACCAAGCUUGAAAUUGGUGCUGUUCCUUAUGAAUACUGGUUUGGAUUUGGUUUCAGGGGAUACAAGAGUCACUAUAUAAACACGGAACAGUCAAGAGCCUUGAUGACUUCUAUGAUCCUUGUUUUCUACUUCAGCUCUUCAGUGAACUGACCAGACCAGGUAAAAUGAGUGUUUUUCUUUGGU